rnacentral:misc_RNA from 1 species
AACGCAUAUUGCGCCCGAGGCUUCGGCCAAGGGCAUGUCUGCCUCAGCGUCGGGUUAAUACUCGCCCCCUCUUCUCUCAUGAGUAGAACGGGCGGAUCUGGCCGUUCCAGUGAUCAUUAUUGAGAGCUGGAUCAGCCGAAGAACAGAGGCUAACCAAGGACCCGUCAAGGGCCGCAACUGGGUGGGCAGCUCACGCUUGCUAAAUCAUCUUGGUUGUUGGUCUGGGACUUUGUUGUUAAGCCCAAAACAGGAACCCUUCUUUAUUUUCUCGACCUGAGCUCAGGCAAGAACACCCGCUGAACUUAA